GGAUCUCGUACGAUCGCCGAAGUUAAGCAACGUCGAGCCGGGUUAGUACCUAGAUGGGUGACCGCUUGGCAACAUCAUGUGCUAUAA